rnacentral:rRNA from 1 species
GACGAACGCUGGCGGCGUGCUUAACACAUGCAAGUCGAGCGGUAAGGCCCCUUCGGGGGUCCACGAGCGGCGAACGGGUGAGUAACACGUGAGCAAUCUGCCCAUCACAUCGGGAUAACUCUGGGAAACCGAAGCUAAUACCGAAUACGACCACCUCCGGCAUCGGAUGGUGGUGGAAAGUUCCGGCGGUGAUGGAUGAGCUCGCGGCCUAUCAGCUUGUUGGUGGGGUAACGGCCCACCAAGGCUUCGACGGGUAGCCGGCCUGAGAGGGUGACCGGCCACACUGGGACUGAGAAACGGCCCAGACUCAUACGGGAGGCAGCAGUGGGGAAUAUUGGACAAUGGGCGGAAGCCUGAUCCAGCAACGCCGCGUGAGGGAUGACGGCCUUCGGGUUGUAAACCUCUUUCAGCAGGGACGAAGCGCAAGUGACGGUACCUGCAGAAGAAGCACCGGCCAACUACGUG